AUCAGACCUCUAAUCGGAAAAGACUACCCGCUGAGUU
rnacentral:rRNA from 3 species